AGUUGAUCAUGGCUCAGAGUGAACGCUGGCGGCAUGACCUUACACAUGCAAGUCGAACGGUAACAGGCCUUCGGGUGCCGACGAGUGGCGAACGGGUGAGUAAUGCAUCGGAACGUACCUUUCAGUGGGGGAUAACGUAGCGAAAGUUACGCUAAUACCGCAUAUUCUGUGAGCAGGAAAGCAGGGGAUCGCAAGACCUUGCGCUGAUUGAGCGGCCGAUGUCAGAUUAGCUAGUUGGUGAGGUAAAGGCUCACCAAGGCGACGAUCUGUAGCGGGUCUGAGAGGAUGAUCCGCCACACUGGAACUGAGACACGGUCCAGACUCCUACGGGAGGCAGCAGUGGGGAAUUUUGGACAAUGGGGCAACCCUGAUCCAGCCAUGCCGCGUGAGUGAAGAAGGCCUUCGGGUUGUAAAGCUCUUUCGGCCGGGAAGAAAUCGCAUGGGUUAAUACCCUGUGCGGAUGACGGUACCGGCAUAAGAAGCACCGGCUAACUACGUG
rnacentral:rRNA from 1 species